AUCAUUUCCCGGCCCCCCCCCGCAGUACUGCAGCCAACCAGUUCCCCCAGACUUCAUCGUCGCUCCUCCGUCUCCUCUGAGCAGCAGCCCCUCCUCUGAUGGGCUGAUGUUCCCGAGUCUGAACGGGCAAAGCCCCUCGCCCGUUUUCGGCAGCGUGGAGGACGACUCCCACUGCAUGUCCUUUGCACAGAUGCUCAGAGACGGGAAGGCCAGAGCCGAUGUCGGACCCAAGAUCGUCUCCAAGAAAGAGAAGUUGCUGGCUCCUCCGGCGGCAGACAGCGACGGGGAGAGCGACGGGUCAGAGCGAGUCCCGGUG